CGUAUUCAGAGCCAUAUCAUGAGAAUUGGCACAUCCCAUUAAUGUGAUUUUGUAUUGUAAUUCUGUGUUGUGAACCACCCUGAGUCUAUGGAUGAAGGGCAGUACAGUAUACAAAUUUAGUAAACAAAAUAAAUAUGUAUGAUUGUUUACUGAAUGGUUUCCUGUCCCACCACAGGCAUCUUCAAUACAAUAUUCUCAGCAACGCUGAAUAAAUUAUUGCCAAUCUUCAACUGUAAAAGGUUAAAGGGGGGAGAGGCUCCAGAGGAGAAGGAGGAGUGGCAGCUGAAAAUGAUGGAUGCGCAGAGCCAGCAGCCCUGACCAGCAGGGCAGGAGAACAAGAAGGACGAGGGUAUGAAGAUGAAUGGAAAAUAUUUGUGGAUAUCAGGGAAACAAUUGUAGGCAAGUGAAAACGCUAGCAGGAUUGUUGUAAAUUCAACAGUAUAAUGUAGAUUAAGAUAUAAUGGAAAAGGGGAAACUAGAGGGAAGAAACAGAAUAUGCAGUUAAUCUUGGAAGUACAAGGAAGUCGUUGGAUGUAUUGUAUUAACCACCUGUUACCAUCAAGGAAAUCAAGUCACUAAUUGGAAAAGUAAGUCUAGGAAAGCACCUGGGGCUGACUUUAUUCCCCUGAACUUUUGAAGUGUAACAUCAAGUGGUGGGCCCCUCUGUUGGUGACUACACACACACACAAACACACACACACAAUCUGCAGGUUUUUACAGUAGUCAUGCUAAUGUCCUGAUCUUUUUGUAAUUUGUUUGCAAAUAUUCAAUAAACCAGUUCCAUUUUUUGAGAAAAAGUUUGUUGUCUUGAUUUCUUAUUCUCCCGAUAAGUUCCACCAUUUCUGCAUAUUACAUUAAUUUUUGCAACCAUUCUUCUCAUCAGGACUUACUAUUCUUUCCAUUUUGGGGAAAUAUUCUUGCGGCUGUAGUUGCAUACAUAAAUAAGUUUCUAUAUUGUUUAGGUAGCUCUGAUCCCAUUAUCCCCAAAAGAAAAGUUCAUUAUAUAUCAUUUCCCAGUAAGCUAAAGCCUUAUUACAAGACCACCACAUAUGGAAAAAGGUACCUUCUUUCUCUUUACAUUUCCAACACUUGUUGGAUUUUAAUUUAUACAUUUUUGCCAAUCUACUAGGUGCUAGUUACCAUCAAUAUAACAUUUUCAUAUAUUUUCUCUUAACACGCUGUAAAUUGCAUAUCCACAUGCCACAAUUGUUCCCAGGCCUCCAUUUCUAUGUUGUGACCAAUAUCGAUUGCCCAUGUAUCACUGAAGAUUUCACUUAUUCAUCUUUUGUCUCUCAUUCCAAUAACGUUAUACAUUUUAGACAUCACUUUAACAUUACCGUAAUACCUCCGCGAAUGUCUGCCUCGUCAAGUGGCCGUUCCAGCAAACAUCCGCGGCAAACUCGGAAGUACCAGAACGUGAUCACACAUGCACAGAAGCAUAAGCCGCUCUGCGUGUGUGCACAGAGCGUCCUUCUCGGCUCGCGGCCAGGGCUCCGGAACGGAUCCUGGUUGCAAAACAAGGUACCACUGUACAGUCUAACAGGUCUUUUUCGAGAUAUCUCCCCCAAAAAAACCCUCGUUUCAUAUCCUUUUUAAACACUUCAUUCAACUGAUUAUAUUGUAUCCAAGUUGUUAACAUUCCUGAUAAAUCCUUAAACACUUUUAAUUUGAAUUCUCCACUUUCCUCUCUUAACAAAUUUCUAUACGCUACAUAGUUUUCAUUUUUAAAUAAUAAUUUUCAUUAGUUUUAUUAAUUUACAAUUACAGUCCAAUAACAGCCUCAUUAUAACGAUACCAAUUUAUAAUACAAUUAUUAAUAUCAAUCAUUCAUAUUUUUUAAAGGAUAUUUAUUAAAAAUUUCAAAAUAUUACAAAAUGAAAAGAGAAAAAAGAAAAAAAUACAAAAUAAACGUAGUUAAAAACAACUCAAUCUUUCCAUUACUUAUCUUUCAUUGGCUUGUUUCCCGUACCUCCUUGCGCCUCCCUUUUUUGUAUUCCAAUUCAGUUUGUUAGUUCAGCAAAUCCUUCCCCUCUUUGUUUAUCCUAAUCUUUAAUCUUAAAAUAUUGUGACAUUGAAUUUUAACCUAUUAAUAAUCCUUUUUUCAUAUUCCCUUAUAAUAUUACAGCUAAAAACCACUUAAUUUCUAUCCAACAUCAUUCUAACAUUCAUUAAUUUUGCAAUGUUUCUGUAGAUAGUCUUUAAACUUUUUCCAAUCUUCUUCCACCGACUCUAAUAUCAAUAAUUCAAAUACCGAAUUAUAUAAUUUAAAUAAAGUGGGGGCCCACGUGCUAGAUUUGAUUAUUGAUUUGAUUAUUUUCUGUGUUCCAAAAUCUUGUUAAUCUCAAUUACAUUCCAGUCGUCAUCAUCGCCCCUCAUACAACAACUGCAACAUUAAUAACUUCUAUUCAGGUUGACACAUUAAGUGAUUUAUAAAACAAGUGAGGAACUCAAGCAUUAUCUUGUUCUUCCUGUGUGUGGCAAUUAUUUUGUCCGUGGUGUUUCUUCCUGUCCUUGUAAGAUAUUAUGUCUGUGUUUUCCCCGGUUGUUGCUGUUAUCCGUCAUGCCUUGGACAGAGCUGAUAUCCCAUUAUUGUUCCAGAAUUUUUUCUAUCGUCCCGUGCUUCGUUGUUUUGCAACUUUAACAGAAGCUUGGUUUUAUCUUUGAUAAUGUUAAGACCUACUAUUUCUCAAAAAAAUUAAAUCUCUUCUAAUGCUUUUGGAAUCAAUAUCACCACAUCAUCAGCAAAUACUUUUAGUUUAUAUUGUCUCUGUCCCCACCCUUAUUCCUUUAAUUUCUUGAUGACCUCUUAUUCUUUGCACCAAAACUUCUAAAACAAAUAAAAAUAAUAAAGUUGACAGCAGACAGCCUUCUCUAAUCCCUUUAGGUUUUUGGUUGGGUUUUUUUACCAUUCUCCGUAAACACAUUAUUUACUAUCAAUUUUGUUGACUGUUCAGUAUGUAUUGCCUUAACUCCUUUGAUAAAAGUGUCUCCACAACCCAUAUACAGUCGGGUUAAGAACUUAAUUCGUUCUGGAGGUUUGUUCUUAACCUGAAACUGUUCUUAACCUGAGGUACCACUUUAGCUAAUGGGGCCUCCCGCUGCCGCCAGAGCAUGAUUUCUGUUCUCAUCCUGAAGCAAAGUUCUUAACCUGAGGUACUAUUUCUGGGUGAGCGGAGUCUGUAACCUGAAGCGUCUGUAACCCAAGGUACCACUGUGUUCCAAAACUUUAAACAAAGUCCCAGGAGACUUUGUGAAAUGCUUUCGCUGCAUCUAAAAACAUUAAGGCUGCCUGCUUUUCAUUUCUCACUUCUGAAUAUUCUAUUACAUCAAUUACGUUCCUAAUGGUAUCUUUCCUUUGUCUUCCUGGAAGAAACCCUGCCUGAUGUUGAUGAAUCUUUUAAUACAGUUUUCAAUCUAUUAAUUAAUAUGCCUGCAAAAAGUUUAUAAUCAUUAUUCAACACAGAUAUAGGUCAAUAAUUCUUAAGCAACUCUGGGUCUCUGUCUUGCUUAGGAAUUAGUUAUACAUGCACACUUCCAGGAUUCUGGGAGCUUUCCUGUAUUUAAUAAUACCUUUUAAUGGUUGUAAUAGGUAAUCUUGUGACUUUUUAUAGUACGUUGCUGAAAGUCCAUCAGGUCCAGGUGCCUUCCCUGCUUUUACCCAUAAUAUUGCUUGCUGUAAUUCCAUCAUUGUCACCAGACCAUUCAGAAAUGUCGUUUUGUCUUUUGCUAUCUUAGGUAUUCCACUGUCUUCUAAAUAUUUCCCCAUUUCUUGUAUAUCACCUUGUUUAGCUCGAUAGAGUUCUGUAAAAUAGCUCACAAAUUGAUCUCUUAUUUCUUCCGGAUUUUCCACAACUCUUCCUCCUAUAUAUAUUUUGUUAAUACAAGUUUUUUCUUGUUUCUUCUUUAUUUGCCUAGCUAAUAGUUUUCCAGACUUAUUGGCCUGUUCCAAUUGUUUCUGUUUUAAAUAUUUAAUCCUCCACUCUAUUUCCUGAUUUACUAUCUUUGAAAACUGUGUUUGCAAUAUCUUUCACUGUCUCCUUUUUCGUUGGGAGUUUAUUGUUUUUCUUUUCUUUUCUUUUCAUUUCUUCUAAAAUGUCUUGUUUUUCUGUUCUUUUCUUUCUUUGGUAUGUGUUUUGCUGUAUGAAAAAGCCCUGCAUUGCCGCUUUACUCACAUCCCAAACAACCUUUAAAUCUGUCUCUUGAUUUAAAUUAAUUACUUCAAGUCUCUUAUAAAAAUAAGGUUUUUUUCCUCAUUUGGUGCACCCACACCAAUUAACAAUUUUUUUUUAUUCUUCCUUAUACAUCGUUAAAUAGUGGUUUCGGGGCCCAACUCUGGUUUUAAAUACAUUACAAUGCUGUUUUGUUUGUUAUGUCAGAGAUUACAAAGUCCUUUCCCAAUCUUUUGUUAAUCAGAAUUCUUCUAUGUUUCUUCGCAAUAUGUGUUUCUUGGAGGCUGAUCACAUCCAGAUUUAACUUCUUCACCACAUGUUUGAUCUUAUUUCUUUUAGUUUUACUAUUCACUCCAUUUACAUUCCAGGUUAAGAUUUUCAAUGCCAUCUUAUUCUUUAUUUUUCUUUCACCUUGACUUUUGUCGGGUCUUAUUCUUCCUGUCCUGCUUCCAGUCCAAAUGCCUUUUCUCCUUCUAGCUCUUUCCCACCCACAUAUUCUCCAUAAUUUGUCUGCUUCUGUAGGAUCCUGACACCUUUGUUUUCUCCCUUUAUAUGUAAAAUAUACUCCUUCUGUAUCAGAGCUGAGGGCUUCUCUCUUCACCACAAACACCAUGGGAGCCUCUCGACCUUUUUAUAGUCUUUAAUUACAGUAUUUACAACGGGUCAUUAGCACAUCGUUAUCAUCCAUCAGAGUCACUCAGUUCAGAUCUCUGCUGAGGCCUGCAUUUGCCCCUCCAACAGCUCAUAAAAUAACAAGGUUUCCCACCUCCUUUCAGCCCUCCUCUUUUCCACAUGCCUCGCAAGAGCCCCCAAUUCUGAGCUCGAGCUUAACCCUUGCGUUUCCUGUGAACUUCCCGGCUCCCUAGCCCUUCCUGCCUCCUGCUCUUGGCUUAUUCCCAUCGCUCUCUCCUCAUUAUCUCCCUCCCCCUCGGGCACCUCGUCCACUUCUUCUGCUCCCAGGCUCCCCGCUCCCUCUGGGGAACCUGAAACCCCUGGUUCGUCCCUGACAUUCUGGGUAUUCCCAAUGAAGAGGAUUUUAUUAUAUCUCAGUGCACCCGACAAAUAUAAUUUGCUCUUUUCUUUAGCAAUCUCAUUGAAAUUUAUUUCAAAAUCAUUAUUUUUUGGCCAUCAAUCUGGAGGUUCUUUUGGUAGUACAUUUGCAUUACUCUUUCUUUAACUCCUUUCAAGUUAAAAAUAACCAUACAAUCCCUCAGUUUUUUGUUUGCUUUUGCAUAUCUAGAUUUCACAUGGAAAAAUUUGUCCACUGCCGCACUGACCUCUUCUUCUAAUUCAAUCAGGUUAGCAAGUUCUUUUAUUAUUUUUUCACUUAUUUCUUCCAGCAAAUCCUCUAGAACGCUUCUUAAUCGAAAAGUGAAGUUUUUUUUAUUUAAUUCCAGAACCACCAUCACAUCGUGCCUGUUCAUUGCAUCAUGCCUCCAUGUCUUCUUUCAUCCUCUCUUGCUCCCUCUUAUUUUGACUUGUAGUUUCUUGGAAGAUUCCUCCAAAUAUGAAGUUUUGGCCUUUAAUGUCUGCACUGUUUUUCCAAUUCUAAUGUUUUAUGUGACAAAUCUUUAAUUUCUGUUAUACAGUGGUACCUCGGGUUAAGUACUUAAUUCGUUCCAGAGGUCCAUUCUUAACCUGAAACUGUUCUUAACCUGAAGCACCACUUUAGCUAAUGGGGCCUCCCGCUGCCUUUGUGCCGCCGGAGCACGAUUUCUGUUCUCAUCCUUAAGCAAAGUUCUUAACCCGAGGUACUAUUUCUGGGUUAGCGGAGUCUGUAACCUGAAGCAUAUGUAAGCUGAGGUACCACUGUAAAUUUGCAACUGCUGAGGUUUUCUGUUCCAGUCUCUGUAUACCUCUUUUCAUUUCUUUCCUAAUUUCUAAUAAAAUUGUCAUCAGGUCUGACUUUGUUUACCUUUCUGCGAUUGAACCUUUACUCUGACCUGGAGUAGUUGUUGGGCCUGAAGGUGGCUUUUUUGUUGUGUUAGCCAUAAUGUUAUGAGUUGAAUUAUUAAAGUUCAAAAUACAAAACUUAUCAUCAUCAUCAUUAUUGUCUUAAAUUUUCAAUUUCCAUAAAAUAAGAAUCAGUACUUGUGAUUUCCUCAAAAUUCCAACAGAUGGUCCUGUUGCUCCUCUCCUGGGAAGGUGCUUAAUGAAAAAUAACAAACGUAAAACAAACAAACAAAACAAAUCCCCGGUAAUUAUUUUUCCCACCAGUGUCGCUGUAUUUUUUGUCUAAACUAUCGCUCUUUCUGAUGUUUGGUUUUCUGUUCCCUGAACAAUUCCAAACUUGAACUUCAGGGUAUUAUUCUAAGCAAUGGGGCAAUAAUCUUUGCACAAGCAUGCUGAUAAUAGGGCAAGUGUAACAGAACAUGGUCUAUAGCAGAGGUUUUCAACCUUUUUGAGUCCACAGUUCUCUUGACCAACUACUCUUUCUGUGGCACCCCUAUGGGGCUCAGGAACCCGGUUAUGUCCCCUCCCCUCCCUCCCCCCGCCUGCAGAGUUGGCAUGGAGUAAAAUCUGCAGGGGCUGACAAAAGAAUAAACAAAUACCCGCUAACAGUCUUUUUAAUAAGCAUUCCAGUAAUAAUAAUAAUAAUUUUUUAUUUAUACCCCGCCCUCCCCAGCCAAGGCCGGGCUCAAGGCCGGGUUCAGUACAUGAACUGAGCUAAAAACGUGCAUCAAGGAAAUACUGGAUGCAUUAUUUUUAGACUUUAUAAGUACUCUCUGUCAGGAACGUCCUACACACGAGUAGGCAUCCGACAGAGACACAUGCCCGACUGGCAUGUUCUCUCCCUCCUGGUCCAUUGUUCGGGAGCUUCAAAAGCUUUCUAGAGCCCAAACAUCACAGCGACUGAUAUCAAGAAGCAUCAGCACACUUCAGGAUUCUGCAGAGUAUUGGCAGUUCGCGUGACAGACUCAGCAGCACAGCAUUUUGGCUAAACUACUUUAUUUCCAUGUAAUACACUCGGAGCAUUCUGACUCAGCUCCUUCCUCUUUCUCAUCAGACAGCAAAGAGAAAGAGACAAAGGAUAAUAGUUCCACAUUACAGAACACAGUAAUGCAAACAUCCUGUCUCCAUCACUUCCCACUAUGUGGAAUGAAAACAUACACUGUCAUGUGAGAAAAACAAUCCCAUGACUGCAAGCACAGGGCAAGAAUCCUAACACUCUCUGGCAAGUUUGCCAAACUGCAAAAGGACUUAAAUUAAACUGGACAUUGGGGAAGGUAAAGAGAAGAAAGCAGGACGUGGACUUUGUGGAUUGAUUGACAUUAAGAAACAUUUUUCUUUCUCUUGCUCCUUUUCAUCUUCUGAACCAAAAGAGGCAGGCACUGCAAGGGUGGAGUUAAAAAAACAAUAUUUAAUAUUGGGAAUUGUCUGAAAAUAUUUUUAGAACUAUCUAAAAAAAUGAAGUUUUUUUUGAGACUGACAGAAGCUGGAAAUGGUUUUGAAGCAGGGUAACGUUUUUCUUUUCUUUUUUAAAGGAGAAGGGGACGACAGAGGACGAGAUGGUGGGACGGUGUUCUCGAAGCUACGAACAUGAGUUUGACCAAACUGCGGGAGGCAGUGGAAGACAGGAGGGCCUGGCGUGCUCUGGUCCAUGGAGUCACGAAGAGGCGGACACGACUAAAUAACAACAACAUAUUUUUGCUUUAUAAUCUCCUGCUUUUAAAGUUUGUAUGUUUGAAUCAGACAGCCUGGUGGAUUAUUCUAAAUAUGGAUUAACGGCUUUUUGAAGAAUCUGAAGAAAGGAGGGAGGCUUAGUUGGUUAAAAGAUUUUAAAUUUCCCAAAAGUGGAUAAUAGGAGGGCUUUUCAAGAGGUUGAAGAAAACAAACGAUAAAUACUGUGGAUUGAUACUGUUUUAUCCCUGUCUUUAAAAUUUGUGUUUUUAGCUGAAGAAAAAAACGGGACUUUUAAAACUUCUUUCUGAGUAAAAGGUUGGAUUGCUACAACUUUCUAUAUCCGAUAAAACCUUAUGACUGUCAGGGUAAAGGAGGAAACAGAAAAACCAAACAACAGAAUGAUAGUAGAGACAAAAAAUACAGCGACACAGUGGGGUGGGGAAAAUAAUUACAGGGGGUUUUGUAUUUUUUUUUAAAAAAAGUUU